rnacentral:tRNA from 1 species
GCUCCUGUGGCUCAGUGGUAGAGUACGUCCUUGGUAAGGACGGGGUCGCGAGUUCAAUUCUCGCCAGGAGCU